UACGAAGGGGGCUAGCGUUGCUCGGAAUCACUGGGCGUAAAGGGUGCGUAGGCGGGCCUUUAAGUCAGGGGUGAAAUCCUGGAGCUCAACUCCAGAACUGCCUUUGAUACUGAGGAUCUUGAGUUCGGGAGAGGUGAGUGGAACUGCGAGUGUAGAGGUGAAAUUCGUAGAUAUUCGCAAGAACACCAGUGGCGAAGGCGGCUCAGUGGCCCGAUACUGACGCUGAGGCACGAAAGCGUGGGGAGCAAACAGG
rnacentral:rRNA from 1 species